rnacentral:rRNA from 1 species
AGUACGCACGCAAGUGUGAAACUCAAAGGAAUUGACGGGGGCCCGCACAAGCGGUGGAGUAUGUGGUUUAAUUCGAUGCAACGCGAAGAACCUUACCAGGGUUUGACAUCCUGCGAAUCUCUUGGAAACUUGAGAGUGCCUUCGGGAGCGCAGUGACAGGUGGUGCAUGGCUGUCGUCAGCUCGUGUCGUGAGAUGUUGGGUUAAGUCCCGCAACGAGCGCAACCCACGUCUUUAGUUGCCAGCAUUUAGUUGGGCACUCUAGAGAGACCGCCGGUGAUAAACCGGAGGAAGGUGUGGAUGACGUCAAGUCAUCAUGCCCCUUACAUCCUGGGCUACACACGUACUACAAUGCUACGGACAAAGGGCAGCAAGUUCGCGAGGACAAGCAAAUCCCAUAAACCGUGGCUCAGUUCAGAUCGUAGGCUGCAACUCGCCUACGUGAAGGAGGAAUCGCUAGUAAUCGCAGGUCAGCAUACUGCGGUGAAUACGUUCCCGGGCCUUGUACACACCGCCCGCCACACCAUGGAAGUUGGCCACGCCCGAAGCCGUUACUCCAACCCUUGUGGAGGAGGACGUCGAAGGUGGGGCUGAUGACUGGGGUGAAGUCGUAACAAGGUAACC